rnacentral:rRNA from 1 species
UACGUAGGGUGCGAGCGUUGUCCGGAUUUAUUGGGCGUAAAGGGCUCGUAGGCGGCCUGUCGCGUCGGGAGUGAAAGCCCACUGCUUAACGGUGGGUCUGCUUCCGGUACGGGCGGGCUAGAGUAUGGCAGGGGAGACUGGAAUUCCUGGUGUAGCGGUGGAAUGCGCAGAUAUCAGGAGGAACACCGGUGGCGAAGGCGGGUCUCUGGGCAGUAACUGACGCUGAGGAGCGAAAGCGUGGGGAGCGAACAGG